rnacentral:lncRNA from 1 species
GACGUUACGCACGGUAUUGGUGCCACUUAGCGUUACACGACGUUCCUAAUAAAACAACGAUUUUGACGUUGUUCCACGGAAAGUUUCAAACGUUGACCUUAUAUUUUACUCAUGUGAAAAUGCCGCUUAAAGUACAGAGAAUUUCGAUGUUGCUUCUUUAUAUGGUUUUAUUUUUUUCAAGCGGGUGCAAAUGCAAAAUUCCAUUUAAUUAAAAUAAUUUUUAAUAUUUGAAAAGAAUUGUCUGCAACAGUAACACAAAAUAACAAUUUGAUGUCUUGUAAAAUGAUUUAAAUAUAUAAAAAAGAUGUGGUAUGAUU